rnacentral:rRNA from 1 species
AGAGUUUGAUCCUGGCUCAGGAUGAACGCUAGCGGCAGGCUUAACACAUGCAAGUCGAGGGGUAACGAUGUAGCUUGCUACAGGCGACGACCGGCGCACGGGUGAGUAACGCGUAUGCAACCUACCUUUAACUGAGGGAUAGCCCAGGGAAACUUGGAUUAAUACCUCAUAGUAUGUAUCAUUCGCAUGUUUGAUAUAUUAAAGUUCCGGCGGUUAAAGAUGGGCAUGCGUGCCAUUAGAUAGUUGGUGAGGUAACGGCUCACCAAGUCAGCGAUGGCUACGGGGUCUUAAAGGAUGGUCCCGCACACUGGUACUGAGACACGGACCAGACUCCUACGGGAGGCAGCAGUGAGGAAUAUUGGUCAAUGGACGCAACUCUGAACCAGCCAUGCCGCGUGGAGGAAGACGGCCCUAUGUGUUGUAAACUGCUUUUAUAUAGGAAGAAAAUGUUCUACGUGUAGAGCACUGACGGUACUAUAAGAAUAAGCAUCGGCUAACUCCGUGCCAGCAGCCGCGGUAAUACGGAGGAUGCAAGCGUUAUCCGGAUUUAUUAGGUUUAAAGGGUGUGUAGGCGGAAUUUUAAGUCAGUGGUGAAAUCUCACAGCUCAACUGUGAAACUGCCAUUGAUACUGGAAUUCUUGAGUAUAGUUGAGGUAGGCGGAAUGUGUAAUGUAGCGGUGAAAUGCUUAGAUAUUACACAGAACACCGAUUGCGAAGGCAGCUUACUAAGCUAUUACUGACGCUGAUGCACGAAAGCGUGGGGAGCGAACAGGAUUAGAUACCCUGGUAGUCCACGCCGUAAAAGAUGAUUACUCGUUGUGGGGGGCGAGAGAUGGGCAGCGACGGAGCGAAAGCAGUAAGGAAUCCACCUGGGGAGUACGUGCGCAAGAAUGAAACUCAAAGGAAUUGAAGGGGGCCCGCACAAGCGGAGGAACAUGUGGUUUCAUUCGAUGAUCCGCGAGGAACCUUACCUGGGCUUAAAUGAAGUAUGACGUUUAGAAAUAGAUCUUUCCUUCGGGACAAUUUACAAGGUGCUGCAUGGUUGUCGUCAGCUCAUGCCGUGAGGCGUCGGGUUAAGUCCCAUAACGAGCGCAACCCCUAUCGUUAGUUGCUAGCAGGUAAUGCUGAGGACUCUGGUGAGACUGCCACCGUAAGGUGAGAGGAAGGCGGGGAUGACGUCAAGUCAGCACGGCCCUUAUAUCCGGGGCUACACACGUGUUACAAUGGUCAGCACAAAGGGCAGCUACACCGCGAGGUGAUGCUAAUCUCAAAAACUGAUCUCAGUUCGGAUCGGAGUCUGGAACUCGACUCCGUGAAGUUGGAUUCGCUAGUAAUCGUAUAUCAGCAAUGAUACGGUGAAUACGUUCCCGGGCCUUGUACACACCGCCCGUCAAACCAUGGAAGCUGGGGGUACCUGAAGUCUGUGACCGUAAGGAUCGGCCUAGGGUAAAACUAGUGACUGGGGCUAAGUCGUAACAAGGUAA